rnacentral:lncRNA from 1 species
GUUCUGAGCCGGAGCGAGAGGCGCUUCAGAGAAGGAGGGACCGACCUGCAGGAGCCGGCCGCCCCGCCGAGCUGCAGUCGCUGCCGCCGCCGCUGUCGCUGUCGCUGUCAGAACCCGUCCGAAGAGUGACACCUUCGCGAAAAAACAGGAGCUGUGAAACAUUUGCACACGCAGUCUUCGGAUCCCAGGUCCCCAUUCAUGAGCCCGAGGCUGUGAGACAUGCUCCAUGUGCCAAGGGGAGUUCUCACCACAUCUUCCGAGGCUGUCCUAGACAUACACUCUUCGGUCUGAGUCAGCAUUACCAGCUUAUCCAAGAGAAGUCCUAUCAUAUUCAUCAACAACGUCGAAAGUAGCCUACUUUAAGAGAAAAUAUGCAGAAGAAGAAGAUCUACAUCAAGAUUCCCAUGGGUAUUUUCCAAAACACCUGAUAUUACCGGAAGACAGGACUUGUAUCCUCAAACUUUCCCUAGAGAAGCUCAGGUUUCUUGAAGACCCAGAAACCUACCUAAGAAGGUCUGUGUUAAUUAACAAUUUGCUGAGGAAGAUACACCUAGAGACGGAGAAAGAGAGCUAUGAAUACUUCAAGGAAGCUCCCUGCUAUAAGACUGCUUAUUCUGAUACGAGAAAACGGCUGAAGUUUAUGGUACAGGAGUGCUGUUCCCAGUCUCUCUACUAUGAAGAGCUGCACUCCUACCACAUUGUGCCUUACACUUCGGAGAGUACCAUCUAUGGGAUGGGCUACACUGGUGACCACUUGGAGCAAAAUUCUCAGUUGCUCAUUUAUAAAAUGAAUUAAAAAGUAACUGUUAAGUUCAUUGAAAAAAAAAAAAAAAAAA